GACGAACGCUGGCGGCGUGCUUAACACAUGCAAGUCGAACGGAAAGGCCCUGCGUUUGUGGGGUGCUCGAUUGGCGAACGGGUGAGUAACACGUGAGUAACCUGCCCUUGACUUUGGGAUAACUUCAGGAAACUGGGGCUAAUACCGGAUAGGAGCUCCUGCUGCAUGGUGGUGGUUGGAAAGUUUCGGCGGUUGGGGAUGGACUCGCGGCUUAUCAGCUUGUUGGUGGGGUAGUGGCUUACCAAGGCUUUGACGGGUAGCCGGCCUGAGAGGGUGACCGGCGACAUUGGGACUGCGAUACGGCGCAGACGGCUACGGGAGGCAGCAGUGGGGAAUAUUGCAGAAUGGGCGGAAGCCUGAUGCAGCAACGUCGCGUGCGUGAUGACGGCCUUCGGGUUGUAAACCGCUUUCGCCUGUGACGAGGCGUGAGUGACGGUAAUGGGUAAGGAAGCACCGGCUAACUACGUG
rnacentral:rRNA from 1 species